rnacentral:piRNA from 1 species
UAGAAAUCGCAUUUGCUCACAAUCCAGAAA